rnacentral:rRNA from 1 species
AGUGAACGCUGGCGGUAGGCCUAACACAUGCAAGUCGAACGGCAGCACAGUAAGAGCUUGCUCUUACGGGUGGCGAGUGGCGGACGGGUGAGGAAUACAUAGGAAUCUACUUUUUCGUGGGGGAUAACGUAGGGAAACUUACGCUAAUACCGCAUACGACCUACGGGUGAAAGCAGGGGAUCUUCGGACCUUGCGCGAUUGAAUGAGCCGAUGUCGGAUUAGCUAGUUGGCGGGGUAACGGCCCACCAAGGCGACGAUCCGUAGCUGGUCUGAGAGGAUGAUCAGCCACACUGGAACUGAGACACGGUCCAGACUCCUACGGGAGGCAGCAGUGGGGAAUAUUGGACAAUGGGCGCAAGCCUGAUCCAGCCAUACCGCGUGGGUGAAGAAGGCCUUCGGGUUGUAAAGCCCUUUUGUUGGGAAAGAACAGCAGCAGGUUAAUACCCCGCUGUUCUGACGGUACCCAAAGAAUAAGCACCGGCUAACUUCGUG